CGACGAGUUUGAUCCUGGCUCAGAUUGAACGCUGGCGGAAUGCUUUACACAUGCAAGUCGAACGGUAGAGGGGGCAACCCCUUGAGAGUGGCGAACGGGUGAGUAAUAUAUCGGAACGUGCCCAGUCGUGGGGGAUAACGUAGUGAAAAUUACGCUAAUACCGCAUACGAUCUACGGAUGAAAGCGGGGGACUCGUAAGGGCCUCGCGCGAUUGGAGCGGCCAAUAUCAGAUUAGGUAGUUGGUGGGGUAAAGGCUCACCAAGCCAACGAUCUGUAGCUGGUCUGAGAGGACGACCAGCCACACUGGAACUGAGACACGGUCCAGACUCCGUACGGGGGCAGCAGUUGGGGAAUUUGGACAAUGGGGCGCAAGCCUGAUCCAGCAAUGCCCGCGU
rnacentral:rRNA from 1 species